rnacentral:tRNA from 1 species
CAAAGAAUAGUUUAAUUAAAAUAGUAAUUUUGGAGAUUACUGAUAAAGAAAGUCUUUUUCUUUGA